rnacentral:tRNA from 1 species
CCUCUCGUAGCUCAGAGAUCGGAGCAUUGGUGCGUAAAUCUAAAAGUCCUGGGUUUGAUCCCCGGCGAGGGUG